ensembl:lncRNA
AGUUACUGGUAGUACCUUUCCUUUGCAAUUCACAAAGCUAAUUACUAGACACCAGAUGUUCUACUGGGGCUUCCCUGGUUUUUUCAAACAGUAAAGAGUCUGCCUGCAAUGCAGGAGACCAGGGUUCAAUCCCUGGAUUGGAAAGAUCCUCUGGAGAAGGGAAUUGCAACCCACUCCAGUAUUCUUUGCCUGGAAAAUCCCAUGGACAGAGGAGCUUGGCAGGCUACAGUCCACGGGGUUGCCAAGAGUCGGACACAACUUAGCGACUAACAUACACACACAGGUAUUCUACUGUAACCACUGCAGAGAAACCAAAUUCCAAGACAGAACCUCUGAGGAAGCAUGUGAUCUUCACUUUAUAAAGUCAGUUCUGCUAAGUCUCACACAACUGUGUCUUAUUGGCAACAGGUAGUCCCACACAGAACCUUAGCUUCGAUGGAAUGGGAGAAAUCUCCUUGACCUUUGACGUUCCAGCUCUGAAGAAAUACUACAGAUGAGUUGAAGUCAUAUUGAUUGAGGCAGCCUUCAGCAUCUGCUUUUUUACUCGUUUUGAGAGUUUCUCAGGGCUUUCCUGGUAGCUCAGCUGGGUUUUCACCUUUUUUAGUGCAGGACCAUAAACUUAACAAACACCACGGGCCCCAUACAAAGUGCUGCUAGUGAUGCUGGAAAUACUCACAGGAAGCAGACAAAAGUCAUGGAAAAGUUGAAUUGCUUUAUCUGUGCUAUAUAGAUCAAGGUCUGCAGCUGUGGUUGCCCACCAUUUCAAGGUAAAUGAAUUUAGGGUAAAGGCUAUUGUAAAAAAAAAAGGAAAUUCAUGAAGGUAUUGCUGUAGCUAUGCCAGCAGACACAAAAUCCUUGCACUUUUUGCAAAAUACCUUUUUAGCUUGUAUUGAAAAUGCAGCUUUUAUGUGGGUUCAGGAUUGCUAUUAAAAAGGCAUACCUAUAGACUCUAAUAUGAUUUGAGAAAAAGUGGAGAAAAUAUAUGCCAACUUAAAGCAAAAG